GUUAUUCUGUAUGUUGGUAAAUUGAACACCAAUAAAAAAUUAACUUAUUAAAAGAAAAAAAGAAAAAGAGGUGAGGCUCAGCGGCUAAGCGUGCUUGCCUUCGACUCAGGGCGUGAUCCCAGGGUCCUGGGAUCGAGUCCCGCAUCCGGCUCCCUGCAUGAGGCCUGCUUCUCCCUCUCCCUGUGUCUCUGCCUGUCUCUCAUGCAUAAAGUCUUAAAAAAAGAAAAAAAAAAAAGGAAGAAAGAAAGAGGCGAGCCUGCGGGCGAAGGGCAGCUAUAGGCUCCAGGGUGCGGUGAGGCCGCGGGGUGCAAGGGUCCGGUGAGCCUCCGGGUGAGGCAAGGCUGUGGGGUGUGGCAAGCCUCCGGGAUGCAGCGAGGCCGCGGGGUGCAGGCGUGUGGCGAGACUCCAGGGUACAGGGGUGCAGCGUGGCUCCGGGGUGCAGCGAGACCGCGGAGUGCAGGGGGUGCUGUUUUAGGGGUGUGUGUGGAGAAGCCAGAGAAUACGCAGGAAGCUUGUGUCGACUUCGUGUUCAGCCUUCACUCUUCUCCUUGGGCCAAGGUGACUGAGCUCUGCCCAGACUUGCUGCAAUGCCCCACUCCCUCUGCUUAAUUCCUUGUAAAUAAAACAGAGCUCCCUCUUCCCUGCACCACAGCUCA
rnacentral:lncRNA from 1 species